rnacentral:rRNA from 1 species
CCUACGGGAGGCUGCAGUGGGGAAUAUUGGACAAUGGGGGCAACCCUGAUCCAGCCAUGCCGCGUGUGUGAAGAAGGCCCUCGGGUUGUAAAGCACUUUCAGUGAGGAAGAACGCCUGGUGGUUAAUACCCAUCAGGAAAGACAUCACUCACAGAAGAAGCACCGGCUAACUCCGUGCCAGCAGCCGCGGUAAUACGGAGGGUGCGAGCGUUAAUCGGAAUUACUGGGCGUAAAGCGCGCGUAGGUGGCUUGAUAAGCCGGUUGUGAAAGCCCCGGGCUCAACCUGGGAACGGCAUCCGGAACUGUCAAGCUAGAGAGCAGGAGAGGAAGGUAGAAUUCCCGGUGUAGCGGUGAAAUGCGUAGAGAUCGGGAGGAAUACCAGUGGCGAAGGCGGCCUUCUGGACUGACACUGACACUGAGGUGCGAAAGCGUGGGUAGCAAACAGGAUUAGAUACCCCAGUAGUC